UCCUUCUUAGCUCAGUUGGUAGAGCGCGUCACUAGUAUUCUUCUCCGAUGCGUGUGUACAUGACGAGGUCAGUCGUUCGAGUCGGCUAGAAGGAA